UAAGUUCUCUCUGGGGAAGGGUUGGAAUUUCAAGCGUCCAGGUGUCCCUCACUCCCCUUCCCGGAAGGCACGAGGGCGGUCCCUCGUCAGAGUCAGACAAGAGCCAAACCCUGUUCUCCAAGCAUGGCAUGAUGGGAGGGGAGAAAACAGGUUCUCCCAGAUUUGGAUCUCCUGUUGAGGACCACAGAGGAUUUCAUGGUGGCCUCAUCACCCUGUUGCUGGUGUGAAGAGUUUGGGAAGGGCUGACCACCUUGUCCUCUACCUGGCUCACAAUCUGGUAUCCCAGUCCCCCCUGCUACUGUGAUUGGUUCCAGGAGGAGCACGUGACCUCAGUCAAUCCAAUGGGAGUCGGUUUUGGAACGUAAGCCAUAAAGACUGGGAAAGUGGCUCUCCCUUGGUUGCCAUCCUUGCUGCAGCAUGGACAUGGUCAUGGUCAGCUAAGAAGGAAGCCCACACAGAAGGAAACAGUCAAGGGAAGGAGAGAAAAUCCGAUGCCAUCAUCAAGUCCCUCAUCUGGCUAUACCAAAGCCAAAUAAACAUCCCAAACCUCCCAAUUAUGUAAGCAAAUAAAUGCUAUUUCAUGCUUAUGCCCA
ensembl:lncRNA